UGCAUUGCAGUUUCUUCCAUUAUUAGCAACUUGAUGGAGACAUACUUCUUUUUCAUAAUGUGAUCAUCCUAGCUAAAGCUACCAGGGUGCCUUCCCUAAGAGAGGAACGUCACAUUUUUGGUAUCUUUUCUCAUUGUCAGUGGUGGCUUUGUUUAAAUGAAACUGUCAAGGCUUUGAAACUCACACCAGCUUAUCUAAUAUGAGUACCUGCAGUUAAUGAACUCGAGCUAAAGGAAACCAAUUAAACAUAUUUAAAAAUUA